CCUCCUUCAACGAUUUCGGGAUUUGAGAUGCGAGGUGUUCCCUGGGCUGGAUGGGAACUAGAGACUAGAAAACAAGAGGCAUGGGAUCUCAUCUCUGCAGACGCUUCUCAAAAUUGUCCAAUAAUUGUGGUAUAUCAUUUUCUUUUCUUACCUUUGCUACCAAAAAAUAUUCAGCUGACCCACACACCUCCACUCCUUCCCUGCCCUCGCAGGCCUCCACCUUGCGACCAUCAGGUGCAUCAGCCCCAUCCGGUCGGCCUGUGUGUUUCGCGCCGAUGGCUUGGAAGAUGAAAACGUGUAGGAGCAGAAGUAGUGCAAGGAAGACGCCACGGUGAGCAGAAGCAGUGCAAGGAAGACGCGGACGUGUGGGAGCAGAAGCGGGCUAUGCUCUGUGCUUCGCCGCUGCACUCACGUGCACCAUUACCGAGCAAUGGAGAACCAAAGGUUCCCAUCAAGGCCUUCACUUUCAGGAGGAAUACCGGACAGCGGCGAGGAGCGCGGCCACUUGGUCGACCAUUGGAGCAUUGCAAUUCGGUUCAUGGCAGAAUGCUCCUAGAGCUUUUUUCUCAUCUGCACCGCUACCGUGAACCCCUCCAGACAGUGUUGCCUUCUUUCCCACCCUGACAGCUUCCUCUAAUGGCAGAAUGCCAUGUUUGGUCUCGCUGGACUGGGAACAAAAGCUUCUUGCCAAGGUUACUUUGGCAGGUCCAUGGCCGGAUCUUAAGCUAGAAGCUUUGUGCAGUUUUCUUGAUGUAUAUCUGUGAUUAUGUGCUUAAGAAGAACUUGCAGGCUCAUCUCU